rnacentral:rRNA from 1 species
GUUUAUGGCCAUGCUACCCUGAACAAGCCCAAUCCCGUCUGAUCUUGGAAGCUAAGCAGGGUCAGAUCUGGUUAGUACUUGGAUGGGAGACCACCUAGGAAGACCGGGUGCUGUAGGCA